UGCAUUAACUACUGUAAGUCGCUCUGGAUAAGAGCAUCUGCUAAAUGACUAAAA
rfam:Salmo salar isolate Sally breed double haploid chromosome ssa15, whole genome shotgun sequence.